GUCCCUGUAGCACAAUGGGUACCGUGUUAGACAUCUAAUCCAAAAGUCGUGGGUUCAAAUCCCACCUGGGAUG